rnacentral:rRNA from 1 species
ACUGGAUGAGCAGCGAACGGGUGAGUAACGCGUGGGGAAUCUGCCUUUGAGCGGGGGACAACAUUUGGAAACGAAUGCUAAUACCGCAUAAAAACUUUAAACACAAGUUUUAAGUUUGAAAGAUGCAAUUGCAUCACUCAAAGAUGAUCCCGCGUUGUAUUAGCUAGUUGGUGAGGUAAAGGCUCACCAAGGCGAUGAUACAUAGCCGACCUGAGAGGGUGAUCGGCCACAUUGGGACUGAGACACGGCCCAAACUCCUACGGGAGGCAGCAGUAGGGAAUCUUCGGCAAUGGACGAAAGUCUGACCGAGCAACGCCGCGUGAGUGAAGAAGGUUUUCGGAUCGUAAAACUCUGUUGGUAGAGAAGAACGUUGGUGAGAGUGGAAAGCUCAUCAAGUGACGGUAACUACCCAGAAAGGGACGGCUAACUACGUGCCAGCAGCCGCGGUAAUACGUAGGUCCCGAGCGUUGUCCGGAUUUAUUGGGCGUAAAGCGAGCGCAGGUGGUUUAUUAAGUCUGGUGUAAAAGGCAGUGGCUCAACCAUUGUAUGCAUUGGAAACUGGUAGACUUGAGUGCAGGAGAGGAGAGUGGAAUUCCAUGUGUAGCGGUGAAAUGCGUAGAUAUAUGG